rnacentral:rRNA from 1 species
UACGUAGGCAGCGAGCGUUGUUCGGAGUUACUGGGCGUAAAGGGCGUGUAGGCGGUUGUUUAAGUUUGGUGUGAAAUCUCCCGGCUCAACUGGGAGGGUGCGCCGAAUACUGAAUGACUAGAGUGCGGGAGAGGAAAGUGGAAUUCCUGGUGUAGCGGUGAAAUGCGUAGAUAUCAGGAGGAACACCGGUGGUGUAGACGGCUUUCUGGACCGUAACUGACGCUGAGACACGAAAGCGUGGGUAGCAAACAGG